UCAUGGCUUGCCACGGGUUUGAGUCCGGUGUUCCCCGUGGUUCCUCCUGAAGGGGUCCCUUCAUCCUUCCAAUGCCUUCGGAAAGGGGUUGGCAAUGUGGGAAGACGCAACAAAGCAAGAGUGUCGAUGUGCUAACGACCAAGCUAAUUGAGAUAGCCAACAGCUCCUUCAUUCCUCCGGAAAUAGAGUCUGAUGCAGAAGAGGGGGAAAUAGAGAAGUUGGCGGGCCUGUUGCUCAGGCAAUGCGGCGACACGGUGGAACAGGAUUAUGACUGCGCCAAGAAGUUCACGGAGAUGCUGAGCAGCUACAGCAUGUUCGGCAAAUUGAUGUCCAAGAUCUUCCUCAAGAUCGGCCUCCCGACCAACGACCCUGGGGACCGGGGACCCAAGGGUUCAGACGAGAUCCAGACCAACAUUGCUGUCACCUGCGAGGUGGCCACUAGGCUGUCUGCUAUGGACACCCAUCCAAUGAACCGCGCUCUCGGGUUCGGUGCUCGGUACCUGAAAGAGCACUAUCCUCUGGAGGAAGCGUUGAAUGCAGACGAGGACCAAGAUAUUGACACGGACGUCGAGUGAGAGACGGGUCUCUUUGUUGGUUUGAGGGUGACAACUUUUAUACCACUACCAAGUGGCAGUGCCAAGAUCACAAGGAACACAUCACAGUAUGCAAGACUUUUUAAGUUAAUUUCUCAGGGAAAGAGAAUGAGAAAUGUGCCAAUGGGAUUGUCCUAAUUUUGCACAAAAAAAUGGCAACCUCUUGUGUUUAGUUUAGUCUUUCUAGUGCCAUGAUCCAAAAAAAGAAGCUGCUUGUUGUCCUUUACACUGAGGUAAUCUAAUAUGGUUAUCUAACCAAAUUAUCUUAUGUUGAGAUAAUAUUAUUUGGUUGUGAAGUGGCCAAAAUCCUGGCCAUCCAUUAGUUAUCGUUAUUUAACCAUGUAUUUUUGAAUCUUUAUGUGAAGAGAGUGUGCUGGAAUGAAUAGCUUCUCUAUUCUGAACGAUAACUUACCAGUGGUCACUCCAAAGCAAUAGCUUUGGGAAGGAGUGUUAUCAAUGUACAUUUUUUUGCUAUUGAAACCGAUUUACCCAUAGCAAUGACUCUUGGUCACUUUUGUGUCAACAGUUUUACUAUAUAUGGGAAUAAAUCUGAUUUUCAUCUCCCGGUUAUUCUUUGUUGAUUAUUUGGCUGUGUGUAACAUUGAAAUAGCUGUUAAACUCUGAAAUGAUUGUGCCUCAUCAAAAUCCCCUGCUGAAAGAGUCAUCGCUCACGCAAAUUAGUUUUCCUCUGUAAAGUAUGAGCAAUAAAACCAAACGGGGAACAAGGUGUAACUCCCUUCAGCUUCUGUGGUCAGGCGCAGGCUCUGUGCUUUCUCCCUCCCAGGUGUUCUGCUAGAUCAAAGCACAACUGCAGGUUGCGAGAUUAGUAUCUUGAUGGCUGUGAUACUUUCUUUGAAGACUGUUGUUCCAACUGUUGACCAGUUUUUGCUUGAUUAUUAGAGGCACUGCCAAAUGGUUACCAAGCUGACCUGCCUCUCAGGACUCAACAGCAGUGUUUCCCCAGGAUUUUU
ensembl:lncRNA